AGUGAACGCUGGCGGUAGGCCUAACACAUGCAAGUCGAACGGCAGCACAGUAAGAGCUUGCUCUUACGGGUGGCGAGUGGCGGACGGGUGAGGAAUACAUCGGAAUCUACUUUUUCGUGGGGGAUAACGUAGGGAAGCUUACGCUAAUACCGCAUACGACCUACGGGUGAAAGCAGGGGAUCUUCGGACCUUGCGCGAUUGAAUGAGCCGAUGUCGGAUUAGCUAGUUGGCGGGGUAAAGGCCCACCAAGGCGACGAUCCGUAGCUGGUCUGAGAGGAUGAUCAGCCACACUGGAACUGAGACACGGUCCAGACUCCUACGGGAGGCAGCAGUGGGGAAUAUUGGACAAUGGGGGCAAGCCUGAUCCAGCCAUACCGCGUGGGUGAAGAAGGCCUUCGGGUUGUAAAGCCCUUUUGUUGGGAAAGAAAAGCAGCAGGUUAAUACCCCGCUGUUCUGACGGUACCCAAAGAAUAAGCACCGGCUAACUUCGUG
rnacentral:rRNA from 1 species